rnacentral:rRNA from 1 species
UACGAAGGGGGCUAGCGUUGCUCGGAAUCACUGGGCGUAAAGCGCACGUAGGCGGAUUGCUAAGUCAGGGGUGAAAUCCUGGAGCUCAACUCCAGAACUGCCUUUGAUACUGGCGAUCUUGAGUCCGGGAGAGGUGAGUGGAACUGCGAGUGUAGAGGUGAAAUUCGUAGAUAUUCGGAAGAACACCAGUGGCGAAGGCGGCUCACUGGACCGGUAUUGACGCUGAGGUGCGAAAGCGUGGGGAGCAAACAGG